rnacentral:rRNA from 1 species
UACGGAGGGAGCUAGCGUUGUUCGGAAUUACUGGGCGUAAAGCGUACGUAGGCGGCUUUGUAAGUUAGAGGUGAAAGCCUGGGGCUCAACCCCAGAAUUGCCUUUAAGACUGCAUCGCUUGAAUCCAGGAGAGGUGAGUGGAAUUCCGAGUGUAGAGGUGAAAUUCGUAGAGAUUCGGAAGAACACCAGUGGCGAAGGCGGCUCACUGGACUGGUAUUGACGCUGAGGUGCGAAAGCGUGGGGAGCAAACAGG